GUAGGGGGCGAGCGUUGUCCGGAUUUAUUGGGCGUAAAGGGCUCGUAGGCGGCUUGGCAAGUCGGUCGUGAAAUUCCGGGGCUCAACCCCGGAACGCCGAUCGAAACUGCGAUGGCUUGGGUCCGGUAGAGGAGUGUGGAAUUCCCGGUGUAGCGGUGAAAUGCGCAGAUAUCGGGAGGAACACCACUAGCGAAGGCAGCACUCUGGGCCGGUACCGACGCUGAGGAGCGAAAGCGUGGGGAGCGAACAGGAUUAGAUACCCUGGUAGUCCACGCCGUAAACGAUGGGCACUAGGUGUGGCGGAUCGAUUAACGUCCGCUGUACCGUAGCUAACGCAUUAAGUGCCCCCGCCUGGGGAGUACGGUCGCAAGGCUA
rnacentral:rRNA from 1 species